GAGGUACUUACCAGUGUGACUGGC
rnacentral:piRNA from 1 species